CUCACGGACCAUGAGAUUGUGACCUGAGCCGAAGUCAGACACCCAACCAAUGGAGCCACCCAGAUGCAGAACUGCAGCCUGCGGGUGAGGGACCAGCCACACCAGGUGAGGGCCUUCCGGCCUCCAGCAGCUGGAGUGUGGUAACCAGCAGAAACGCCCACUGAGGCCUCCGCACAGCGUCCCCCUCAAAAGCAUCCGUCUCUGAAUAGCAGGCAGGCUGUCGUCUGGAGUGACAGGACUUUGUGGGAAGACGUGUCUGUGGAAAUACUGGAAAUUACAACUAGAAAAACCAGCUCUGUUCUGCAAGCUCUGAGGUCUUCUUAGACCUCCCUGGAACAAACGGAUUAAUUUGGAGUAACAGAUUUCUUCCUUUAGCCUCAGCCAUGCUGUCUCAAUGCCACACAGGUCUGUCUGUCUGUCUCUCAUCUGACAGUGUUUGCCUCAGAGCAAUGGAGGGACAACAAACAGUUCAGAAGGAGAAGGGAGUGUGUUAGUUGUCAGGGAUAAUAUGCAGAUUCCCUUUGCCUCACAUGGGGCCAUGUUCCACCAUUUCCCAGCUGCCGUGUUUGCACUUUUCUAGAACUCACAAGUUCAGGAAAGGUUGACCUCUACCCAGUGUGUGAGGCAAUCUAUUAGAGGAGUUCUGUUUCCAUCCCUGUAAGCAUUCAUUUGGAGUUGCCUAAGAAAUCUUCUAAGAACUCUUACAAAACUGAAAUCAACUCUCCCAAAUGGCAUGAAGAGUUUUUGGUUAUUAACUCUACCGUCUCCUGUUAGCUAAGCUCAUUUGUUUUCCCUCCGGAGAGAAGAGCUCUUGCAUCUAAUCAUACCUAAUCUUUCUGCAAAGAUGUUUUCCUUAAAAAAAAAAAAAAGUGUAAAUCAAGUUUUUCUAAAUCUAAUCAUAUGUUUUAUGCAUCAGGGGAACUUGGAAUGUAAAGGAAUCCCAUGGUGCAUCCUUCUGUAAAAUGAAGAUUUGCUCCCUUAUUAUUCAUUUUUGUAAAUCUGAAUAAUUAUUCAUUGGGUUGAAGGAGGUAUGCCUUUAUUUAGGUUUUUGCAUUUGGUGCCUUUCCAUUUCUUAUUUUCCAUGAGCUCCCAAAUGGGCACACAUUCUACUUUUUAGAGAAAAGGAAACAUAGCAAACAUACUCUCUGAUUCUGAGGUCUUAAGGAGCCUCCAAAUUCUGUGCCAGUGGAUCAUGAUGAGUCAUCGUCUGAUCGAAAAAAUAAACCUGCAGAAAACCUUGCUUCUGUCUUGCUCCAUAAAGCCAGAUAUCCAUUUCAGACUGUCUUGGUUCUAUUCCUUCCUUCUUUCCCUUCAUCUUCCCUUUUAGAAAAUAAAAAGAUUCACAGCAUUCUUUCUCAAUUUAAAAUAAGAUGGUGUCUAUUAAAGCUUUAUCUAGCAGGAAUUCCCCAAAUCGAGGGUCAUGAAAUUAUGCAACCACCAGGGAUUCUGGAGAGUCUGGUCUCUGAAGAUGAAGUUAGAAAUGAGGGAAGGUUUAUUGUUCAUUCAACUCGGCAGAAGCCACAGGGUCCUAUGGCAAGGAAAGGCUUAGCAAUCAGGGUGAGACCAGAUUCCCAACAUUUGUGUUAUAGACCUUACUCCAAAGGGAAACUUUCUUGAGGUAUUUUUCUACCCUGCAUCUACUGGAUCCCAAUUAAAGGAAACUGUUUUUAAGACAUGUCUUUUUCCCGUGAUAGAAAAACAGGGUUUCUUUCUUUCUUUCUUUCUUUCUUUCUUUCUUUCUUUCUUUCUUUCUUUCUUCUUUUAUCCAUCUGGAUGGGGAAGAAAAAGCAUCUGAUAUUUGAGAAAUGUAACUUUAUUAAUGAGAAACCUGUCCUACGAGGACAUCCAGGUUUUAAAUUUGGGAAAUGUCCCAAACCUAAAUCCCAGCCUAGAGGAGUCCAGUGCUAUAUGAACUGGACAAACUGGACUGUCCUUCAGUGAAGGAGACAUGGCCAAGAGAAAGUAAGAAUCACAAAGGCUGAACAUUUCUGUCAGCUCAAGUCCUUGGAAAAAGCCACAAUAUGAGAAUAAAGUGGCUGACUGAAAGCUUACUCAAUCAGGGUUUCACACACUCUUGCAGGAAUAAAAGAAUUCCGGGCAGGGUUUACCAAGUGCUUUGGAUGCCAGCAGGGGGAGCUCUAACUCUGGAAACCUGUCAGUGGUCACGAAAAGCUACUUACCAGGCCUAGACCUUUCCACAUACUGUUUGUUCACCAUUCCUGUGACUCCGGUCAUAGAAGUCAGGAACAAGACCCACAGGCAAUGUCACUGAACCAGAAACAGAUCUCCCUUCCCAUGGUCUCUG